rnacentral:rRNA from 1 species
AACAACUCACCUGCCGAAUGAAGUAGCCCUGAAAAUGGAUGACGCUGAAGCGCGUGGCCGAUACUACGCCGUCAAUUUUUUUUAAAUGAAGUUGAUGAGUAGGGGGGCGUGGCGGUCGUGUCGAAGCGCUGCGUGCAAACGCGCGUGGAACGGCCGCUAGUGCAGAUCUUGGUGGUAGUAGCAAAUAUUCAAGUGAGAACCUUGAAGGGCGACGCGGGGAAGGGUUCCAUGCGAACAUUGAUUGGGCAUGGGUGAGUCGUCCCUAAGCCGAGUGGCCAUUGCUUGCUCAGUCGGCGAAAGGGAAGCGGGUUGACAUUCCCGCACACGGAUGUGGAACCAAAAAGCGGCGACGCUACGACUGGGGCGGUGACGUUGGCAGUGGCGCUGGGCAGAGUUGUCUUUUCUGUUUAACCAGCCUGACGCUUGCGCUGUGGAAUCCGCUUGUCGGGAGAAACAGGCAAGGCACGGGUAGAGCGCCGGGCUUUUUCCGGCGUCCAGCUCGCCACUGACGGCCCUUGAAAAACUGUCCUCAGGUAAAAAUUCAAUUCCACGCCGUGGCGUACCGAUAUCCGCAUCAGGUCCCCAAGGUGAACAGCCUCUGCUCGAUAUGAAAAAU